UACGUAGGGGCCUAGCGUUGUCCGGAUUUAUUGGGCGUAAAGAGUUCGUGGGCGGCGCAGAAAGUAGGGUGUGAAAGCCCUCGGCUUAACCGAGGAAUUGCGCUCUAAACUACUGUGCUUGAGGAACCUAGAGGUGAGCAGAACUGAUGGUGGAGCGGUGAAAUGCGUUGAUAUCAUCAGGAAUACCGGAGGCGAAGGCGGCUCACUGGGGGUUUUCUGACGCUGAGGAACGAAAGCCAGGGGAGCGAACGGG
rnacentral:rRNA from 1 species